rnacentral:rRNA from 1 species
UACGUAGGGGGCUAGCGUUGUCCGGAUUUAUUGGGCGUAAAGAGCGUGUAGGCGGCCAGGUAGGUCCGUUGUGAAAACUCGAGGCUCAACCUCGAGACGUCGGCGGAAACCCUCUGGCUAGAGUCCGGAAGAGGAGAGUGGAAUUCCUGGUGUAGCGGUGAAAUGCGCAGAUAUCAGGAAGAACACCCGUGGCGAAGGCGGCUCUCUGGGCCUUACCUGACGCUGAGGAGCGAAAGCGUGGGGAGCGAACAGG